rnacentral:rRNA from 2 species
AACCGCGGUUAUACGAGAGGCCCAAAUUGACGCACCACGGCGUAAAGUGUGAUUAAAGAUUAAAUUAAACUAGAACCAAAUACCCCCUAUGCUGUCAUACGCCAUGGGGGUUAUGAAGUCCGACAACGAAAGUGGUUCUAUAAACCUUGAGCUCACGACAGCUAAGACA